ACGGACGAAGGAGACUAUCAGGUCAAACUACGCAGCCUGAUGCGUUUCCUCAACGAAGGGGAUAAGGGCAAGGUCACCAUGCGGUUUCGCGGGCGCGAGCAUGCGCAUCGCGAGCUCGGUCUGGAGCUGUUGAAGCGGAUCGAAAACGACCUUGCGUCCGUCAGCAUCGUGGAGCAACAACCCCAAAUGGAAGGACGCCAAAUGGUCAUGGUGCUGGGCCCCAAAAAGAAAUAGCGACGCGCAUCGUCAAGCCAACGGGCGAAUCACACUGAGUGUCUCGAGGAGACGAUUGUCGGUCGAUACGACCGAU
rnacentral:misc_RNA from 1 species